CGGAGGGUGCAAGCGUUAUCCGGAUUUACUGGGUUUAAAGGGUGUGUAGGCGGGCCUUUAAGUCUGGGGUGAAAUCUCCGAGCUCAACUCGGAAACUGCCCUGGAUACUAUUGGCCUUGAAUUAUGUUGAGGUUGGCGGAAUAUAACAUGUAGCGGUGAAAUGCAUAGAUAUGUUAUAGAACACCGAUUGCGAAGGCAGCUAACUAAGCAUAUAUUGACGCUGAGGCACGAAAGCGUGGGGAUCAAACAGGAUUAGAUACCCUGGUAGUCCACGCCCUAAACGAUGAUUACUCGUCAUUCGCGAUACACAGUGAGUGACCAAGCGAAAGCGUUAAGUAAUCCACCUGGGAAGUACGUCCGCAAGGAUG
rnacentral:rRNA from 1 species